rnacentral:rRNA from 1 species
GACGAACGCUGGCGGCGUGCUUAACACAUGCAAGUCGAACGGAAAGGCCCUGCUCUUGUGGGGUGCUCGAGUGGCGAACGUGUGUGUAACACGUGAGUAACCUCCCCUUGACUUUGGGAUAACUUCAGGAAACUGGUGAUUAUACCGGAUAGGAGCUCCUGCUGCUUGUAGGGGGUUGGAAAGUUUCGGCGGUUGGGGAUGGACUCGCGGCUUAUCUGCUUGUUGGUGGGGUAGUGGCUUACCAAGGCCUUGACGGGUAGCCGGCCUGAGAGGGUGACCGGCCACAUUAGGACUGAGAUACGGCACAGACUCCUACGGGAGGCAGCGGUGGGGAAUAUUGCACAAUGGGCGGGAGCAUGAUGCGACAACGCCGCGUGCGGGAUGACGGGAUUCGGGUUGUAAACCACUUUCGCCUGUGACGAGGCGUGAGUGACGGUAAUGGGUGAAGAAGCACCGGCUAACUACGUG